UGAACAAUAUGGAUAAGCUCCAGCAGGAAUUGGUAGUAUGGAUCAUCUUGAUCAACCAAAGGGCCAAUGAUGAAUGGCAAUAAUCGCAUAAACAUAUAAGUGCCAUUACUCACUUUUAUUAAUCACACCUAUUUGCUUAAAGACAAAGGAAUAUAAAUAUAUUUCUGAUACCUAUUUCUUAUUAACAAUGUUUAACCAAGUCUUUUAGUCAAAAAGCUCAAAUAUUAUAUUGUCGAUAUUGUUACUAUUAUACUGUCACUCAAAUAUUAUGCUGUUGAUAUUGUUAUAAAUUGUAUGGAAUUCUGAGAGCAUAAUGCACUGUGAGUAAAUUAUUCAACUAAUAAAGAGUAUGCAAUUCUGAAACAUUGUUUAUUGUUUAUAUAUCUACAGGGUGUUUUUUUUAAGCAAUUAAAGAAAAAACUGUAUAAUAUGAAGCCAGUAGAAAAGAAGCGUGGGGCAAGAGUAAAAAGGCAGCCAACGACACCCCAAAUACCCCAAGCUUCAAACAUCAUCAAACACGCACAAGUACUCCCAAGGCAACACCGGCAGUGCCUAUCAACAAUGAAGAAAUUGAGGAAGAAAUAUAGAUGAAAUUUGUGAAUCCAGUACAGAGUCAACAAACUCUAAAGCAAUAAUGAUACGGCAUUACUGAAUCAACAUACUCUAAAGCAAUAAUGAUACGGCAUUACAGUGCCUUAGCAAAGGAUAUGAACAAAGUGAAACGGUCCCCUGAGAUCAUAAAUAUGUACCUAAAUAAACACGCCGAAUUGGCCGAAAGCGCAUUUUGGACAUGGCCGCAGAAGAACGUCAUGCAUGGGAAAGUGUUUGAAACAUAUCCAUGUUUUAAAGACCUUGUUGAGAUUAUUGAAAAAGUGAGGAGAGUUAUUGGAGUGGAAGCAAAUGAAAACCGGGAACAAUUUAUGCAUGAAUUUGUUGAGAGAGUUGAUGAGGAAGUCGACAAUUUAAUUUAUUCUGGGGUCUCCAAGCAAAGAAUUGGACAUCCUUCGAAACGAAGUAAAGUUGCCAAAGCUAUACAUUAAUUUGAUGAAGAAUAUUCAUUUAAUAUUUGGACACUCAACAACAAAAACAAAACAAGGAAAGAGGGUGUCUUGUGAUUUGGUGUACAUGCACCAUAAAGCAUGAAGACCCUGAUGUUUUGUGCAAGAAGCAUUCAACAAAGGUACCAAUGCUAAUGGUG